GACGAACGCUGGCGGCGUGCUUAACACAUGCAAGUCGAACGGAAAGGCCCUGCGUUUGUGGGGUUCUCGAUUGGCGAACGGGUGAGUAACACGUGAGUAACCUGCCCUUGACUUUGGGAUAACUUCAGGAAACUGGGGCUAAUACCGGAUAGGAUCUCCUGCUGCAUGUUGGGGGUUGGAAAGUUUCGGCGGUAGGGGAUGGACUCGCUGCUUAUCAGCUUGUUGGUGGGGUAGUGGCGUACCAAGGCUUUGACGGGUAGCCUGCCUGGGAGGGUGACCGGCGACCUGGGGCCUGAGAUACGGACCAGACUCCUACGGGAGGCAGCAGUGGAGAAUAUUACACAAUGGGCGGAAGCCUGAUGCAGAAACGCCGCGUGCGGGAUGACGGCUUUCGGGUUGUAAACAGCUUUCGAAUGUGACGAAGCGUGAGUGACGGUAAUGGGUAAAGAAGCACCGGCUAACUACGUG
rnacentral:rRNA from 1 species